GUGAAAUAAGACUUUCAACACACAUUUCUUAGUAAUAGCUUUGUAUUAUGCUAUCAACACUUAAAACAACUGUAAGUGUUCAUAAACAAUGUUUAACUUUGCAACAAAAUACUGCAAUUAAAGCUCAGUGUUUAUUCUCACAGCAGGUCAAAACUUGAAGUGAAAAUAUUGGAAUGUCUUAGUACAUAAUAGUAUCUCAGGGCUCUGACAGCUGUGUGGAUAUGAAUGAAACCUGUGUGACUAGACCUGGUUUUGCUUCCAAUUGGCUGCCUCGCCCUCUUGAGAGGGGUGCUGCUUUCACCAGUUAUUUCUGGACAUAUGAAUGCUGAAAAAUUGCUUCUGCAAGACCAGAAUUGCUUUUCACCUAUUAAGAAGCAAGAAUUGGUCUCACGAACUAUAAAGACAAUAUUAAAUUGGACUUUUCUUUGCUAUGCAGCAAAGGAGAAUUUUCCAUUCAAAAAAAGUGUGGAGGAUAGGCCAAUGUUUCUAAAUCACACAUAAUUAAGUAAAAUGGCCUGCAAAAUUGUGA